rnacentral:lncRNA from 1 species
UUGGAUGCUGGUCAAAUUUCUGUCUCAUAUCAAUAGCUGCAAUAGAUGGAUAUGAGUAGCCCAGAGCUCAGUUUAAAAGCACCAAGCUGACAUUCAUCUCGUGUGACCCUGCUGGUUUGAGAUGAACCCAUAAAAUCCAUAAAAUUAAAAAUCUCAAUAAUCAUAGCCCCUAGGAAUCUAAGAAUUGUUUAUUUCCUGUUGUGCCUAUAGUGUUGAAUUUGCAGGAAUGACUUAUUGUAGAACAGAAUAUGUUUCAUUUUCUGUACCAUCCCCUAUUAUCCACCCCACACACUCACCAGCAACAUAUGGUCUUCCUUUCCAGUGUUUUCUCUGAAACUUCAGUUCUGAACAGAUAUGCUAAGAUGGAUAAGCAGUGAUGGGGCUGAAGGAGAGCGAUGCUUUAACUGCACUUUGUGUUCAAGGAGUGGAAUAUUCAGACAUGUUAGACUGAGUAUUAAAUGUUCACCAAGUCACUUCAACCUCAUCCUUCAUUUUUAAUUUUCUUCAUACAUUACUGUCAGAAAUUAUUCUGUUUAAUUAUAGAUUGGUGCAAAAGUAAUUGAGGUUUUUGCCAUCACCUUCAAUGGCAAAACCUGCAAUUACUUUUGCACCCAAGUAAUAUUUUAUUAUAAACCACAGCACAUAGUGCAUUCUCAACAAAUGUUGCUGUUGGGAUGCAGGAAUGGAUGGAUGAAUAGAUGAAUGGGUGGCUGGCUGGCUGAAUGGAUUGGUGGAUGGAUGGGUAGUUGUUCAGGAUUCUCAUUGGUAUGGGAUUUGUGCUGUUAGUCUGUGUGUCCUGCAGACUAACGGCACAAAGAAAGAUAGAAGGUCUUGCUACCUGCUCUCAGACUGGUAUAACUCACAUUAUUUGGCAAUACAGAGACUCUCAGUCUUAGUUUUUAUUGGGAGUGUAAAUUUUGCCUCUUUGCUAUGCCUUCGUAGACAUUUUGGUGGAAAGUGGUGACAGACAGUGUCACAGGCUGCCAACCAGGUACCACUUUAACCACCAAGACUCUGAUAAUGUCUCGUUUCCUCCUCCCAUCUCUACCCCUUGCUUCCUCUCAGACUCCUCCUACUCUCUGUCUCUCCAGCCAUGCCUCCACUUGCAGAAUAUCCUUCUCUCUACCCACCGUUCAUCUUUACCCUGGUCAUUUCUUUAGCCACGUCCUCAUGCGUAUCCAGCAUUUCUAUCCUGCUGUGUCAAAUAUAAGACACAUUCUUUAACUUUAGAGGGAAUUUAUAUUUUCUCGUCUGUAGUUUUCUGGAAAUAGUGGGGAGGUUGUAGGCUGUGAUCAAUUUGGGAGCCAUUUAAUGGCAGUAAAAUGGGCAAAGCAAUAUAUCGAGAAUUCUUCAAAUUGAUAUUUAUCUAUUUUCAUCCAGCCUUAGGUAUUUUAAUACAGAUACAACUUUUACUACCAGCAAACUAUAGUUAGUAAUUGAUUUUUUGCUUCCUAUUUCAAAAGCUACAGAUAAAAGGACAUUAAUUUUUAAGAGGCCACUCAAUCAGAAAAUGCAUUCUUCACUUAGAGUGGUCAAAAGAGCAGUGGAGUGGAACUCAGGAAACCAGAGGACUAGCUCUGACUCUGCCACUUACAUUGUUUGAAGCAAGGUAUUUCUGUUAGGGACCUCCAUGGGCCUUCACUCUAACCAACUUUUCUGUCACCUUCAUGUACUAAG